rnacentral:tRNA from 1 species
GCCCUUGUAGCUCAGUAGAUAGAGCGGUCCCGUCCUAAGGGAAUGGUCGGGGGUGCAAUUCCCUCCAAGGGCACCA